AAGAAAAGAAGAUGUAAUGCACAUAGGAUAAUUAUCUAUACAUAAAUUCAUGGUAGCACGUAAUUCUAUAUGACAACAGAGCAAGCUCUGAGGAGUGAGAUUUGAGAGCCUAGAGAAAAAAAAAAUCAAUAAAACUAAUUUGAGAACUCAUCUGAAACAAAGAAUUGUAUUCUCCAGAGACAUGAAUGGAAGAAAAGAGAAAGAGAGAGAGAGAAGAAAGUUGCCCGUGCUUCAUUCAUUUAACCUCUACUACCGUGCUGAACAGAAGUGAUGAAAGUGGACAUCUUUGCUUCAUUCGACUCUGAAUAGGAAAGCAUCCAGUCUUUCACCAUUAGGUAUGAUGUUAACUGUGGGUUUCGAUUCGUAGUUUGUUGAAUGCUUUUAUCAUGAA
rnacentral:lncRNA from 1 species